AUCGUUCAUCUCUCAAGCAUCAUUAAUUACGGUCUAGCCAAAAGCUAGUAAAAACCGAGAAAGCGGAAAGCUAGAGAAUAUUCAGAAGGCUAAAGCGCACUGGAUGUUUUUGGGAGACGGAAGUAGGGACUCAACCCGAAGGAACGCGCC
rnacentral:ncRNA from 2 species